UGCCCUCGCUAAUGGUUUUUCAAAAACAGCCUUCAAAACCCAAUCAUAUAAAUAAAUACACCUACUUUGAACAAGACCCAAAAUUUACAACGCUUUUGCUCGAAAACUUUGGAAGACCGUUGGAGUUUUCCAAAAUAUCCCCGUAGUUUGUUUAAACGGCCAGAGGGUUUUAGAUUCGAGAUUUGAAAUUUUUGAUUUAUCUGAAGUUUAUGUUUUGCAACUGUGCGGCUCUAAAUACCAAUUCUAUUUCGACUUCUCAAAUUAUUCUCUUCAUAUGAGUUAGCACAACAGCAACCCAAUCCAAAAAGAGUUGAAAAUGUCUCGAGAGUGGGCGAACUCAAUUUGCGGCUGCUUCGCUAACAUCCCCUGGUGUUGCAUCACCGUGUUCUGUCCAUGCGCCACCUCAUACAACGUCGGCACCCGAAUCGGUCUCACUUGUAUGGCCAUUACCUCGGUCAUACUAUGGAUCGCAUUCCAUUUAUGCGGCUACCUGCUUGGAGUGAGUGGAACUAAGGCGGAAUUUGACUGGGAAAGCUACAAGACAAUUGACGGGGACCAAAUCAAAGACGACCCGUGGAGCGUGGCGGUUGCUAUCGCUGACAUCUGCAUGCUUAUUUUCAUUCUGCUCUUCAUCUUCAUCGUGUACAGGAUGAGAGUUAACAUGAGGAAGAGCUAUGACCUUGAGGGGGGAUGUUGCACGGACUGUCUAUGGGGAUGUAUCUGCUGGCCGCUUUCGCUGUGCCAGAUGAAAAACCACAUCGAGUAUGAAGGAGUCCAUGUUACACGAGCUUAAACCUGAUUGGCCAAUCCGGUUUAACCAAUUAAAAACGGAGAAAAAACUUGAUUUGUACGAGAUUCAAGCUGAGACGAUAAGGUUUUUUAAAACUUUAAAAAACUACCCAUUUUGAUCUUGAUGACCGCCUGAAAAAAUGAAACCAACAAAAAUCAUACUAACUCCGCAAGAAAUUGAACUAUAAUAAAAAUUAUGACAAUCGCAUAGAAAAUUGAAAACAAGGGUGAAAAAAUCAUUGGAAGUCAUCGACAAUCAACAAACUCUUUCAUCUAUUGCUUAGUUUUUUGUAGCUUUGAUUUUGCAUGUUAACACUUUUUUUCAUAACUCAAAACUUGGUAUGCUUUCAAAAUUGUGAACAAUAUUUGAUAAAAUUGUCAAUGUUUUGUUUGAUAAGGGCUCAUAGUAUUAGACAAAUCAUGUACCCAUUUUAAAGCUUUUGUGACGUGAAAUAAAUGAUUUAUCUUGUUAUAAUUUUAAGUUAGUGUUAUAAGUUUUC